UUAAUUGAAACCAAAAUAGAGGUAAAUUAUUGUUAAUAAUUAUAUUGAAAUAUCUAAAUUCCAAUUAAU
rnacentral:tRNA from 1 species